CGGCAUCUGAACCUGCGACCCAUGCGCCCCUAGCUGCACCGACCAAUGACCAGACGCCACAGAUGCUUCUUCUGCCCAGCUCCAGCCACCGAAGGUAUGGAUGAGUUGUUACUCUACAUACAUCCAUCCAUCUCAGAUUAAAGCAAAGAUGCUUUGAGGUCUGUGCUAGAGGUUAAAUUAAGAGGUCAUGGUACUACUACAACUUAUGUUGUGCUAGCCAAUGCUACAUGAAGCAAGAGCGGAUGUAGAAAAUGAUACUCAUACUCCGGAAAGCAUUAUUCUCUCCUAAGGCAAGCCAAAUCCGUUGUACGGCAUAUACUUCCACAGGUGCAUUACCGAAUUUUCUGGUUAAAUACAUUACAAGAUGUUUCCCGCGAUCAGUUAUAUCAAUUUUUGCACCCCCAAGUCGACCAUGAUAACAAAAAUGUAUCCCUUCCCCCAUAUUUGGCUAACUGUCCAUUAUUCAGGCAGGUACCCUUCUGUUGAAAAUGCCUAAUUAUGUGUUCUCUUCAAUCUAUCAAUAGUAAGAAUUGGUGCCCAUGCCUGAUUUUUUGCUGUUGAACUGCAUGGGCUCCUGUACCACUAGAAUUGUUCAAGCUAUAAUUAGGAAGUUGAUUGCACAAAGGUAAUAUAGCAAAUUAUCAUUUACAGCUUCACUCGAGGCUGUAAAUGAUAAUGUAACAGAGCUUUGUAUGUUGUAAGGCUUAACUAUUUGGAGUUGUUGACUUGAGUGAAAACAGAAAAGUAACGUUUAGCAAUAAUUAAAUUCUCCUAUGUACUGAAAUUUUGUAUUCCCUACUACCACUUCACUGUAAUGGUUUUCCAUGUUUUAUGUCCUCUACAAUCGAAUUGUUUCUGGAUGGUUGCUUGUGUACUCAUGAGGUGUUCAUGUUCUAUAAAUUUCCAAAAUAUUGGCUAAGUCUACUGCAUGGUUCUAACAACCUAAUGGUUAUGUUAUACUACAUGGUCAAUGCAAUUCGGUUUGCUAGCCAAUUUUUUUUUUGGGUUGGAUAUGCCAGAGACAAAAAUAGAAAAAACUGAACUCUCACCGUACUAAUCUGCUAUGGUGGAGGCACUAUCUGCUUUAACAUCAGAACCCACAUGUUUGAUAUGACAAUCAAUUCGAGUUAUUAUGUACUCUGCAAGUGCACUAGAAAAUGGCUAUUUG